rnacentral:piRNA from 1 species
UGCCAUAGUCUGGACAUUGUCCAUCGUGA